rnacentral:rRNA from 1 species
GUGCCAGCAGCCGCGGUAAUUCCAGCUCCAAUAGCGUAUAUUAAUGUUGUUGCAGUUAAAAAGCUCGUAGUUGGAUUUCUGGUGGGAGCGGCCGGUCCGCCGUAAGGUGUGUACUUGGUUGUCUCCUGUCAUCCUUGUGGGAACUGCUCUGGCAUUAAGUUGUCGGGGUUAGGGAACACAUCGUUUACUGUGAAAAAAUUAGAGUGUUUAAAGCAGGCUUAUGCCGUUGAAUACAUUAGCAUGGAAUAAUAAGAUAGGACUUUGGCGUCUAUUUUGUUGGUUUGCACACCAAGGUAAUGAUUAAUAGGGAUAGUUGGGGGUAUUCGUAUUUAAUUGUCAGAGGUGAAAUUCUUGGAUUUAUGAAAGACGAACUUCUGCGAAAGCAUUUACCAAAGAUGUUUUCAUUAAUCAAGAACGAAAGUUAGGGGAUCGAAGAUGAUUAGAUACCAUCGUAGUCUUAACCAUAAACUAUGCCGACUAGGGAUUGGCGGUCGUUCAUUUAUGACUCCGUCAGCACCUUAUGAGAAAUCAAAGUCUUUGGGUUCCGGGGGGAGUAUGGUCGCAAGGCUGAAACUUAAAGGAAUUGACGGAAGGGCACCACCAGGAGUGGAGCCUGCGGCUUAAUUUGACUCAACACGGGGAAACUUACCAGGUCCAGACAUAGUAAGGAUUGACAGAUUGAGAGCUCUUUCUUGAUUCUAUGGGUGGUGGUGCAUGGCUGUUCUUAGUUGGUGGAGUGAUUUGUCUGGUUAAUUCCGUUAACGAACGAGACCGUCGCCUGCUAAAUAGUUACGCGAAUGGCUUCGGCCAUUGGUGGGCAACUUCUUAGAGGGACUUUUGGUGUUUAACCAAAGGAAGCUGGCGGCAAUAACAGGUCUGUGAUG